UACGUAGGUGGCAAGCGUUGUCCGGAUUUACUGGGCGUAAAGGAUGCGUAGGCGGACAUUUAAGUCAGAUGUGAAAUACCCGAGCUUAACUUGGGUGCUGCAUUUGAAACUGGGUGUCUAGAGUGCAGGAGAGGUAAGUGGAAUUCCUAGUGUAGCGGUGAAAUGCGUAGAGAUUAGGAAGAACACCAGUGGCGAAGGCGACUCACUGGACAGGUAUUGACGCUGAGGUGCGAAAGCGUGGGGAGCAAACAGG
rnacentral:rRNA from 1 species